rnacentral:rRNA from 1 species
UACAGAGGUCUCAAGCGUUGUUCGGAUUCAUUGGGCGUAAAGGGGUGCGUAGGUGGCGCCGUAAGUCAGGUGUGAAAUUUCGGAGCUUAACUCCGAAACUGCAUUUGAUAACUGCGGUGCUUGAGGACUGGAGAGGAGACUGGAAUUUACGGUGUAGCAGUGAAAUGCGUAGAGAUCGAUAAGGAAGACCAGUGGCGAAGGCGG